GACGAACGCUGGCGGCGUGCUUAACACAUGCAAGUCGAACGGUAAGGCCCUUCGGGGUACACGAGUGGCGAACGGGUGAGUAACACGUGGGUGAUCUGCCCUGCACUUCGGGAUAAGCCUGGGAAACUGGGUCUAAUACCGGAUAGGACCACUGCCUGCAUGGGUGGUGGUGGAAAGCUUUUGCGGUGUGGGAUGGGCCCGCGGCCUAUCAGCUUGUUGGUGGGGUGAUGGCCUACCAAGGCGACGACGGGUAGCCGGCCUGAGAGGGUGACCGGCCACACUGGGACUGAGAUACGGCCCAGACUCGUACGGGAGGCAGCAGUGGUGAAUAUUGCACAAUGGGCGCAAGCCUGAUGCAGCGACGCCGCGUGAGGGAUGACGGCCUUCGGGUUGUAAACCUCUUUCAGCACCGACGAAGCGCAAGUGACGGUAGGUGCAGAAGAAGGACCGGCCAACUACGUGCCAGCAGCCGCCGUAA
rnacentral:rRNA from 1 species